AGCAGUUCUCGGUGACACACGCUGGAAUAAGACUCCUUCCUCUCUGGUUCUGUGUGCGUCACCCGAGAACCGCA
rfam:Myotis davidii contig37512, whole genome shotgun sequence.